UACGAGGGGGGCAAGCGUUGUUCGGAAUUAUUGGGCGUAAAGGGCGCGUAGGCGGUGUGUCGCGUCGGCCGUGAAAACCUGGGGCUCAACUCUGGGCGUGCGGUCGAUACGGGCAUCACUUGAGUUCGGCAGGGGAGACUGGAGUUCCUGGUGUAGCGGUGAAAUGCGCAGAUAUCAGGAGGAACACCGGUGGCGAAGGCGGGUCUCUGGGCCGAUGACUGACGCUGAGGAGCGAAAGCAUGGGUAGCGAACAGG
rnacentral:rRNA from 1 species